CCAGUGUAAGCAAAAUAAAAAUGACAGUUUUUAUUUCUAAACAUUCACAAUUCUUUCUACCAAUUCAAAUCUUUGUUUUCUUACAAUUUAUGUUUUAUUCUUUGUUUUGCAGAAGCUCUCAAUCAGCUCUAGACAAACCAAUAUCCCAAAAAGGAAAAAGACCUUUUAGCUACAUUGAAGACAUUGCAUCAGCAACUGAUGAAGUAUAGUCUUUAUUACUGCUACUUUUCAAACUCUAUGUAAAUUUUAAGGUUUAAGAAUUGUAUCCUUUUUGGUUUAUACAAAUUAUGUUAUAUUAAACUUUUUUUUAGUUCUUUUGUUAUUAUCAAAUACUUUGGCUUCUUCCAA